GAUAUAGUGAAAUUGUAUUUGGCUAAAAUGAGUUCAUACUAAUACAAAUAAUCCUUGUAUAAGGAAGGCGUUGUAACUGCGAGCGAGUAUGAAAGUGCUCUCAUUAUAAUAUUUGAUACACGUUGAUAUAGGUUUCAUUUCUGGACCGGAAACUGACUCAUGACGAGUCAACAACGACAUGGCUUAAAAGCCCAGUGACAGAUAAACAGCUUUGCUGAUCUGCCACUCAGUGGAUGUUUCUGGGAUUGGAAUCCUGUCUGAAGGGCAAGAUGAUGACUUUAGACUUUGGAUUAGACAGCGGCUGUAAGAUGAAAUAAUUAUGAUCAGUGUUCUCUCUGGAGCAACAGCUAAAGGGCGACUCUUACCAGGGUGGAUAGACAUGGAUGGUGUCUCCUGCGCUGGGUGCCAGCUGAGUGGCUGUUUCCCUGCUGAACAGGGCG